GAGAAGAGAAGUACCUGGUGCAGCGGGCGGAAUGCGCAGAUAUCGAUGAGGAACAAACGAUGGCGAAGACAGGUGUCUGGGUCGUCAACUAGACGAUGAGGAGCGAAAGCAUGCGGAGCGAACGAGGAUGAGAUAGACCUGGUAGUACACCACGUAAAUAAUUGGGCACUAGGUGUGGGGAGGGUGUACGGUCUCCGCGCCGCAGCUAACGCAUUAAGUGCACCGCGUGGGGGGACGGCCGCAAGGGAAAACUCAAAGGAAUUGACGGGGGGCCGCACAAGCGGCGGAGCAUGCGGAUUAAUUUGAUGCAACAACGAAGAACCUUACCAAGGCUUGACAUGUUCUUGAUCCAAUGUAGAGAUAUAGGUUUCCCCCUUUGGGCGGGUUCACAGGUGGUGCAUGGUGGUCGUCAGCUCGUGUCGUGAGAUGAUGGGUUAAGUACCGCAACGAGCGCAACCCUCCUUCCAUGUAGCCAGCAGCUCGUGGUGGGGAAUCAUGGGAGAACGCCGGGGUCAAAUCGGAGGAAGGGGAGGGAGGAGUCAAAUUCUCCUGCCCCUUUUUUACUUGGGUUCCCCCCUGGUUCCAAGGCCGGGACAAAAGGGCAGGGUAACCUGAGGUGGAGGUAAUUCCAAAAAAUCGGUUUCAGUUUGGAUUGGGGUUUGCAACUUGACCCCAUGAAAUCGGAGUUGGUUGUAAUUGCAGAUCAACAACGCUGCGGUGAAUACGUUCCCGGGCCUUGUACACACCGCCCGUCAAGUCACGAAGAGUUGGUAACACCCGAAGUCGGUGGCGGUAACCUCUUGUGGAGCGCAGCCGUCCUAUAGAUGAGCCUUCC
rnacentral:rRNA from 1 species